GACGAACGCUGGCGGCGUGCUUAACACAUGCAAGUCGAACGGAAAGGCCUGCUUUCCCUUGUGGAUUGCGGGUGCUCGAGUGGCGAACGGGUGAGUAACACGUGAGUGAUCUGCCCCCAACUUGGGUAUAAGCCUGGGAAACUGGGUCUAAUUCCCGAUAGGACUGCAGGGUGGUGCCUGUGGUGGAAAACGAUUUUCUAGUGGUUGGGGAUGAGCUCGCGGCCUAUCAGCUUGUUGGUGGGGUAAUGGCCUACCAAGGCGGCGACGGGUAGCCGGCCUGAGAGGGUGGACGGCCACAUUGGGACUGAGAUACGGCCCAGACUCCUACGGGAGGCAGCAGUGGGGAAUAUUGCACAAUGGGCGGAGGCCUGAUGCAGCGACGCCGCGUGGGGGAUGACGGCCUUCGGGUUGUAAACUCCUUUCGACCGCGAGGAAGCCACCUGGUUGGAAGGGUGGUGACGGUAGUGGUAGAAGAAGCACCGGCUAACUACGUG
rnacentral:rRNA from 1 species